GCGGGAAUAGCUCAGUUGGUAGAGCACGACCUUGCCAAGGUCGGGGUCGCGAGUUCGAAGUCUCGUUUCCCGCUCCA
rnacentral:tRNA from 3 species